AUUAAAAUCUCCUUCACAGGUCACUGAUGCAUGCUGUGAAGCGUGGUAUUAUGGAUAAAAAACCAAUAGCUCUUUUCUGCCCUCCUCUUUACCACCUGGGGACACUCUACCAGAGUUUUGUGAGCAUGGUGUCGAGUGCAUACAUGAGUUGGUGUCUCAAGGUAGAUACGAGGCUGCCAUAUCUGCUCUGGGACACAUCACACCACUUUUCUUCUCCCAGCCUGAAGACAUCAUUACCAGUACCAGGUUUAUGCUUGCCAUACAAAAGUGUUUGACUGCAGACCAGACAUAUAUAACUAUGGCAAAGAGUCUUGUGGCCUCCAAUUUCCCAGGCAAGAUUCUCAGCACUUGCUGCCAUGAUUGUAUAUCACAUCAGAAAUU